GAUGAACGCUGGCGGCGUGCCUAACACAUGCAAGUCGAGCGAACAGACGAGGUGCUUGCUCCCCUGACGUUAGCGGCGGACGGGUGAGUAACACGUGGAUAACCUACCUAUAAGACUGGGAUAACUUCGGGAAACCGGAUCUAAUACCGGAUAAUAUAUUGAACCGCAUGGUUCAAUAGAGAAAGCCGGUUUUGCUGUCACUUUUAGAUGGAUCCGCGCCGGAUUAGCUAGUUGGUACGGUAACGGCUUACCAAGGCUACGAUGCGUAGCCGACCUGAGAGGGUGACCAGCCACACUGGAACUGAGACACGGUCCAGACUCCUACGGGAGGCAGCAGUAGGGAAUCUUCCGCAAUGGGCGAAAGCCUGACGGAGCAACGCCGCGUGAGUGAUGAAGGUCUUCGGAUCGUAAAGCUCUGUUAGUGGGGAAGAACAAGAGUGUGAGAAAAUAUGCGCGUGUUGACGGUACCUGAACAGAAAGCAACGGCUAACUACGUG
rnacentral:rRNA from 1 species